AGAGUUUGAUCCUGGCUCAGAUUGAACGCUGGCGGCGUGCUUAACACAUGCAAGUCGGGCGGUAGCAGGCGUAGCAAUACGUGCUGACGAGCGGCGAACGGGUGAGUAAUGCAUCGGAAUCUUCCUAGUAGUGGGGAACAACCUGGGGAAACUCAGGCUAAUACCGCAUACGACCUACGGGUGAAAGCAGGGGAUCGCAAGACCUUGCGCUAUUAGAUGAGCCGAUGUCGGAUUAGCUAGUUGGUGAGGUAAAGGCUCACCAAGGCGACGAUCCGUAGCUGGUCUGAGAGGACGACCAGCCACACUGGAACUGAGACACGGUCCAGACUCCUACGGGAGGCAGCAGUGGGGAAUAUUGGACAAUGGGGGCAACCCUGAUCCAGCGACGCCGCGUGUGUGAAGAAGGCCUGCGGGUUGUAAAGCACUUUUAGUGGGGACAAAAAGCUACGGACUAAUACUCUGUGGUCUUGAUUUAACCCAAAGAAAAAGCACCGGCUAACUCUGUGCCAGCAGCCGCGGUAAUACAGAGGGUGCAAGCGUUAAUCGGAAUUACUGGGCGUAAAGCGAGCGUAGUCGGUUAUUUAAGUCGGAUGUGAAAUCCCCGGGCUCAACCUGGGAAUCGCAUUCGAUACUGGAUAGCUAGAGUUCGGCAGAGGGAAGCGGAAUUUCGGGUGUAGCGGUGAAAUGCGUAGAUAUCCGAAGGAACAUCAGUGGCGAAAGCGGCUUCCUGGACCAGAACUGACGAUCAGGCUCGAAAGCGUGGGGAGCAAACAGGAUUAGAUACCCUGGUAGUCCACGCCAUAAACGAUGACAACUAGACGUUGGGAACAUAUGGUUCACAGUGUCGCAGCUAACGCGUUAAGUUGUCCGCCUGGGGAGUACGGCCGCACGGUUGAAACUCAAAGGAAUUGACGGGGACCCGCACAAGCGGUGGAGCAUGUGGUUUAAUUCGAUGCAACGCGAAGAACCUUACCUGGUCUUGACAUCCACGGAAGCCCGAAGAGGUUUGGGUGUGCCGCAAGGAACCGUGAGACAGGUGCUGCAUGGCUGUCGUCAGCUCGCGUCGUGAGAUGUUGGGUUAAGUCCCGCAACGAGCGCAACCCCUGUCCUUAGUUGCCAUCAUUAAGUUGGGAACUCUAAGGAGACCGCCGGUGACAAACCGGAGGAAGGUGGGGAUGACGUCAAGUCAUCAUGGCCUUUAUGACCAGGGCUACACACGUGCUACAAUGGCAGGUACAGAGGGAAGCCAACUCGCGAGAGGGAGCUAAUCCCAGAAAGCCUGUCUUAGUCCGGAUUGGAGUCUGCAACUCGACUCCAUGAAGUUGGAAUCGCUAGUAAUCGCAGAUCAGCAUUGCUGCGGUGAAUACGUUCCCGGGUCUUGUACACACCGCCCGUCACACCAUGGGAGUUGAUUGCACCAGAAGCAGGUAGCCUGACCGCAAGGAGGGCGCUUACCACGGUGUGGUUAAUGACUGGGGUGAAGUCGUAACAAGGUA
rnacentral:rRNA from 1 species